UUCAAGACUAGUCUGGGCUUGCUUCUUGGUGGAUUCUGAGAAAAUUGCGCCUUUUUCUUAUUUUCAAGAAGUAAAUUGGGUCUUUUCUGCAAUUUACCUUCUCCUUUGAUGAACAUGUUUUCUGCCUGGGAGUUAUCUGCAGUAACAUGCUGUUGAAAAAAAUGAUGAGCCUGACAUUAGCCAGAUGGUCCGACACUGGCCAGCCCUUUUCACAGAAAGCCAGGUUUACUUGGAGUUUAACAGGGUUGUUGGAAGAAACCUUAAAGAGGAAUUCUUUGGUGUGCUUGAUGGCUUGUGUCCAAGCUUGAUGGAAAUUUUCAAGAUGAAGACAUGUCAGAUAGGACCUACUACUAGUUGGGUAUUUCAAAGUGAUUGUGAGAGAAAAUGUCUGCAGCAAAAAGGAAGAAUAUACUGUAGUAACUGGUGGAAAAAAACACACAAAACAUUUUGAUAAUUUGAUAACCAGUUCUUACUGUUUUUGGUUUAAAGCUUGUGUUUGAAAACUGGUUUUAGAUCUCAGAGUUUAUGAAGAGCAUCAUUAUCAGUGAUAUUUGUUGCUUUGUUGUGUUUCAAU
rnacentral:lncRNA from 1 species